AUUGAUUAUGACGUACUUGUACUGAUUGAGAUUUUAACACGAAGUGAGUGGCGAACGGGUGAGUAACACGUGGGUAACCUGCCCAGAAGUAGGGGAUAACACCUGGAAACAGAUGCUAAUACCGUAUAACAGAGAAAACCGCAUGGUUUUCUUUUAAAAGAUGGCUCUGCUAUCACUUCUGGAUGGACCCGCGGCGUAUUAGCUAGUUGGUGAGGUAAAGGCUCACCAAGGCAGUGAUACGUAGCCGACCUGAGAGGGUAAUCGGCCACAUUGGGACUGAGACACGGCCCAGACUCCUACGGGAGGCAGCAGUAGGGAAUCUUCCACAAUGGACGCAAGUCUGAUGGAGCAACGCCGCGUGAGUGAAGAAGGGUUUCGGCUCGUAAAGCUCUGUUGUUAAAGAAGAACGUGGGUAAGAGUAACUGUUUACCCAGUGACGGUAUUUAACCAGAAAGCCACGGCUAACUACGUGCCAGCAGCCGCGGUAAUACGUAGGUGGCAAGCGUUAUCCGGAUUUAUUGGGCGUAAAGCGAGCGCAGGCGGUCUUUUAAGUCUAAUGUGAAAGCCUUCGGCUCAACCGAAGAAGUGCAUUGGAAACUGGGAGACUUGAGUGCAGAAGAGGACAGUGGAAC
rnacentral:rRNA from 1 species